rnacentral:lncRNA from 1 species
CCAUCACAUUGAGGAGUGGAAAGGAGUUGCAAGACAAUAGGGCUGAAAAAGUGCAAAAACAGGGCAUGGAAGAAAUUCUGCCAGAAAGUGAUCAGGGCAGUGAUUUGCCCAGUUUGCUCGUAGAAACUGACCCGAUCGCUGGGCAAACUAAGCUGUCCAGCAGUGGUUUGCCCAAUUCUCCAGAGAAGGCAGAAAGUGAUUUGCCCAAAUCAACAGACCAGGCAGAAUCAAGUCAAAGGCAGAAACAACAACCUAUGGAGAAAUUCAAGGUACC